UCGAAUAACGGGGAAUCAGGGUUCGAUUCCGGAGAGGGAGCCUGAGAAACGGCUACCACAUCCAAGGAAGGCAGCAGGCGCGCAAAUUACCCACUCCCGGCACGGGGAGGUAGUGACGAAAAAUAACGAUACGGGACUCAUCCGAGGCCCCGUAAUCGGAAUGAGUAUACUCUAAAUCCUUAUACGAGUAUCCAUUGGAGGGCAAGUCUGGUGCCAGCAGCCGCGGUAAUUCCAGCUCCAAUAGCGUAUAUUAAAGUUGUUGCGGUUAAAAAGCUCGUAGUUGGAUCUGUGUCCCGCACCGCCGGUUCACCGCCUGUCGGUGUCAAACUGGCGUGUAUGCGGGACGUCCUGUCGGUGGUGGUCUGGGGCUACGUUGGCCCUAAGGGUUGUCCACGCGGCACCCUGAAGGCUGGCGUAUGUUUCCGGCUGCCUUUUCAAUCCCGCCGCGGUGCUCUUUACCGAGUGUCGAGGCGGGCCGGCACGUUUACUUUGAACAAAUUAGAGUGCUUCAAGCAGGCUCUUUUCUGCCUGCAUACUGUGUGCAUGGAAUAAUGGAAUAGGACCUCGGUUCUAUUUUGUUGGUUUUCGGAAUCUGAGGUAAUGAUCAAUGGGGACAGGCGGGGGCAUUCGUAUUGCGACGUUAGAGGUGAAAUUCUUGGAUCGUCGCAAGACGGACCGAAGCGAAAGCAUUUGCCAAGUAUGUUCUCGUCGAUCAAGAACGAAAGUUAGAGGUUCGAAGGCGAUCAGAUACCGCCCUAGUUCUAACCAUAAACUAUGCCUGCCAGCGAUCCGCCGGCGUUCCUCCGAUGACCCGGCGGGCAGCUUCCGGGAAACCAGAGCCUUUGGGUUCCGGGGGAAGUAUGGUUGCAAAGCUGAAACUUAAAGGAAUUGACGGAAGGGCACCACCAGGAGUGGAGCCUGCGGCUUAAUUUGACUCAACACGGGAAAACUCACCAGGCCCGGACACCGGAAGGAUUGACAGAUUGAGAGCUCUUUCUUGAUUCGGUGGGUGGUGGUGCAUGGCCGUUCUUAGUUGGUGGAGCGAUUUGUCUGGUUAAUUCCGAUAACGAACGAGACUCUAGCCUACUAACUAGACGUAUCUGGUAUCCACAAUCGUGCUACCGGCGAUCAAAUUUCUUCUUAGAGGGACAGGCGGCUGUAGCCGCACGAGACUGAGCAAUAACAGGUCUGUGAUGCCCUUAGAUGUCCUGGGCCGCACGCGCGCUACACUGAAGGAGUCAGCGUGUCUUCCCUGUCCGAAAGGACCGGGUAACCCGCUGAACCUCCUUCGUGCUAGGGAUUGGGGCUUGCAAUUGUUCCCCAUGAACGAGGAAUUCCCAGUAAGCGCGAGUCAUAAGCUCGCGUUGAUUACGUCCCUGCCCUUUGUACACACCGUCCCUUCG
rnacentral:rRNA from 1 species